CUCAAACCUAAGAGUCUCCGACCUUCAGAGCAGGAGAACCAGUUUCACCAGGAUCUUAAGGAUCUAAUUCAGAAGUAUAAAGAGGACCUUUGUCAGCUGUCAAAAAGAUGUGAUGAAAUGAAGAAACUCUAUGGUGACAUUCUGGAACAAUUUGGGGAACGGCCAGACCAGGACUCCCAAGAACUCUUUGGAUGGAUAUCUGCCUUUGUUAGAGAUUUUAGAAAAGCCCAAGCAGAUCUGAAUCUUCAGGUGCUGAAGUAGCCAUCAUAGCAACUCCUCCUUCUCAUCAGUUAUGGGCCUGUGAUCAUGAAAUGCUUCAUUGAUGCUUUUGGUUUAUCUGUGCUGUUUAUGAAGAUGCUACUACAAUGGUACCAUAUUUCCCCUCAGUAAUGUUCUUGUGUUCAUUGAAUUAAAGAGGAAGGUCAUCAGUGGGCCAGCAAAUGUCAGGGUUUUCUUUUUUUAUGUAGUAUUGUUUUUGGAGGUGAAGCAGGGCAAUUAGGGUUAAGUGACUUGCCCAGGUUUACACAGCUAGUAAGUGUC
rnacentral:lncRNA from 1 species